rnacentral:tRNA from 1 species
GGGGCUGUAGUCUAACCAGGUAGGACGGCCGGCUCCAGACCGGCUAAUCUGGGUUCAAAUCCCAGCAGCCCCA